CAAGGGAGCCCCUCGGCAGCUGGACCGAAGGAGGCCGACGAGGGUCUGGAAUUCCUCUUCCCCUCCCUCCGCCGCCCCCUCUCCCUGCUCCCACCCUCUGGGCUGCUCGUGGAGUCGGGGAGGCGCUGAAGGGGCUCAGGGAGGGGCCCUGGACGCGGGGCAAGGCUGGGCCCCUAGGCGGAGGCCCGCGCAGGCAGGCCCCGCCCCGACCUCGCACAUCUGGGCCGGGAGCGCGGGCGGCGCGGCCAUCCGGCCGGGGGAGGGGGCGGCGGGCGGGGUGGGCGGCGCGGGGAGGCCGGAGGCAGCGGGGCCGGGCGCACGUCUAGGGCUGCGGCCACCGCGGCAGGCACGGCCAGCGGGCUGCGGGCCCGGGAUCGCGGCGGCUGGACGGGGCUGGAGCUGUCGGGAGGGCGGAGGCCUGGCUGGGUGCUGAGCAGAGAGCAGCAGGCAGAAGAGGCAGGGUCCCAGUGAGGAGGGGAGCUGGAAGGACCGGUGAGUGCUUUUUCUACACUGGCAUCGAGUGUAGCCCUGAAACCCAGAGCACUGCUUGCCCACAGUGCUCCUGGAGACUUGAGUGCCCAGCUGAAACACCCCACCCAGGAAGAGAUCCUCCGAGGAUUCUCUCCAUCAGGCAAAGGGUCUGGCCCCUAUGUGGUGGCUCAUACCUGCAAUCCCAGCACUUUGAGAGACUGAAAUGUGAGGAUUGCUUGAGGCCAGGUGGUCGAGGCUGCAGUGAGCCAUGAUUGUGCCACUGCACUCUAGCCUGGGCAACAGAGCAAGACCCUGUCUCAAAAAAAAAAAAAAGGAGGGGGGGUGUCCUAGGCUAUUGUGAGACCAGGGGGCACUCUGGGAUGGGAGUCUCUGGUUGUGAGUUCCUGCCGGGCCACACCCUAUCCUGGUCCCCAGUGACUAAUAGGUCCUGUCUAUUGGGUAGAAGUCAGGGCCAGGGGGACAGGGUGAAGCUGACUAGAGGUCAAUAUGAAGCCAAGAGUUAGGGGUCAGUCCAUGGGCAGGGUUAGGGAUCAGGCUGCGGCCAGAGUUUGACAUAUGCUUGUAGCCAGGAAAUGCAGUUACUUGCUGUGUAAAUCAAACUGUCUCACUCAAUUACUCUCAAACCCAUAGGCACCACCAGUCUGAAAUUAGUAGGCCCCUAAAGCGGGGGUCAGCCUCCCCUCAUUUUCAGCUGUGGACUCUGCCCAGACCUAGCUUUUGGGAGCUGGGCUUGUCCUGUGUUCUGUGGUCAGCAUUCUCCUUAAGUGUUCCUGGGUGUGUGUGCUUGCUUGGCAUUCGGCCACCUCUUGGCUUACCUCCACCUCUCGGAGAAUCCAUGGGAUCCUCUUUCUUUAACACAAUUUUUUUUUUUUUUUUUUUUGCGACAGGGUCUCGCUCUGUUGCCCAGGCUGGAGUGCAGUGGUAUGAUCGUGGCUCACAGCAGCUUCAACCUUCCACGCUCAAGCAAUUUUCCCACCUCAGCAUCCAAAGUGGCUGAGACUCUAGGCAUGCGCCACAACACCUGGCUAAUAUUUGUAUUUUUUUAUAGAGAAGGGAUUUUGCCAUGUUGCCCAGGCUGGUCUCAAACUCCUGAGCUCAAGCAGUCCACUCCCAAAGCGCUUUGACCUCCCAAAGUGCUAGAACUACAGUCAUGAGCCACCAGACCCAACCUUUAACACAAAUUUAGUUCCUACCUCCUUCCUUAAAGAACCCAUGAUAACUCGAUUCUCAGUAAGACCAAAAACUCCUAACAAGAAAAAUUAGAAUCCUCAUCACGAAGGGAAAGAACACUGCUCAAACCUGCCUAACUCCCUGCUUUUAUCAAUACCUUGCAUAUCUGAACUUGUUAACAUAAGCCCUCUGUGUCACCCAUUCUACAGGAAAGGGCACUGAGGCACAAAAAUGUGGCAUGAUGCCAGGUGCCAUAAUAGGCUCUUGCCAUCCCUGAAACCCCAGCAUAGGGGCACUCAGCAAAUCGCACAAUGAGAGAUGGUAGAUAACUGGACAAGCUUCUGAUAGUCGGGGACAUAUGGGCCUAUGGUUUGGAUGUGGAAUCCAGUAUAGAGUGAGGACUCAGAGUCUUUUUCUUUGAGACGGAGUCUCACUCUUGUCGCCCAGGCUGGAGUGCAAUGGCACGAUCAUGGCUCACUGCAACCUCUGCCUCCCAGGUUCAAGCAAUUCUCCUGCCUCAGCCUCCUGAGUAGCUGAGAUUACAGGUGUCUGCCACUACACCCAGCUAAUUUUUGUAUUUUCAGUAGAGACGAGGAUUUAACCAUGUUGGCCAGGCUGGUUUCAAACUCCUGACUUCAAGUGAUCCACCUGCCUCAACCUCCCAAAGUGCUGGGAUUACAGGCUUGAGCCACUGCACCCAGUCCAGCGUCUUUUUUUUUCCUGGUAGUUCUAGGUUGUUUCUUCUCCUAGAAGAAUAAUAGGUAUAAGAGCCUUGGUCCAGAAAAUCCAUUCAUUCAUUCAUUCAACAAAGUGGUUCCCCAGUGCUUAGCACAGAGUCUGGCAUGAAGAAAUGCUCGGUAAGUGCUGAAGAAUAAAAAUAAUAUACAAAUAGGGCUGCCAGCUCCUCCCUCGAGGCCUUGAUCCAGUGGUAUGCUGGUUCAGCUAUGGAAGAAGGAAAAAUCCUGAUUUGUAGUGCUUGCCAAUUUCUGUGGUGUAAAGACUCCCAGCCAUGACUGAUUUCAAGCUACCAAUGUGAUGUCAUUGAAUGCAGAAUUGGAAAGAGAUAGAAAGAAUCGCUCGUGGGACCCAGGUCAGCACCCCACUCCAUUACCCUGAGCUGGGCUCCUGCCCCUGGCUCCCAAGACCCUUCCCUUCCCCUCUCUGUGCUUUCCUCUUUCUCUGCAUCAGCCAGCUGCUGUAUGUGUGCUCAUGACCAGCCCCCAUCCUUCUGAUUCUGAUUCCUGAGCACCCAACUGUGUACCUCCAGUGGUACAGAGGACAGCAAGAGUGUCUGGAAAUCUCCAUGGUGCUGGCCAUGCAGGAGAAUCCUGGACAUAUGAGUGUGUGGGAGUCCAGGUGUCUGUCUACAGUGGGGCUGGUUUGUGUGAACUGUAUAAGCAAGGGUGUGAGCAUGUGUAUACGGGCAUGCCAGAGCCCAGCUCUGUGUCUGCCUGUGUUCUAUAGCAGAACUUUCUGAUCGGGCCACUGGUGACAGAGAGGGAGUGGACUGGCCCUGUGUAGCCUCCCCUUUUGUUUAGGGGAGCAACCAGGCCCACCAAUGAGAACAUAGUGUCAGUGGGCUGCAGACUGUCUGAGAGACACUGGGGAGCAACAGUUCUCAAAGUUUAGUGUGUACCCGAAUCACCUGGGAAUUUUGUUAAAAUAGGCCAGGCGUGGUGGCUCAGGCCUGUAAUCCCAGCACUUUGGGAGGCCAAGGCAGGUGGAUCACUUGAGGCCAGAGUUCGAGACCAGCCUGGCCAACAUGGGGAGACCCUGUCUCUACUGAAACUACAAAAUUAGCUGGGCAUGGUGGUGCAUGCCUGUAGUCCCAGCUACUUGGGAGGCUGCGGCAGGAUAAUCGCUUGAAUCUGGGAGGUGGAGAUUAUAGCGAGCUGAGAACUGAGAUCAUGCCACUGUACUCCAGCCUGGGGGACAGAGUGAGACUCUGUCUCAAAAAUAAAUAAAUAAAAGUAAAAUAUGGGUUCUGAUUCAGCAGGUGUGGGAUGGGGCCUGAGGUUCUGCAUUUCUAACAAGCUGCCAGGUGAUACCAGUGUUGCUGGUCUUAGCCCACACUUUGAGUAACAAAGCUGUUAAUGGUUUGGAGAAUUCUGGCCCCAGAACUUCAUAGACAGGAUCAAGCCUCACCCAUUGUAGAAAAUAAACAUUCUUCCUCAGUUCCCUUCAGCUUUAGCUUCCUCCAGCUACUGCCCUCAGAUGUAUUCCUGAUCUCAGCCAAGCUUCUCAGAAGUUCUAUCUCAAUAUGAUUGCGUCACUGCACUCCAGCCUGGGCAAGAACAGAGCGAGACCCCAACUUAAGAAGUUCUAGCCGGGCUCAGUGGUUCACACAUGAAAUCCCAGCACUUCGGGGCAGGAUCACUUGAGGCAGGCAGAUCACCUGAAGUCAGGAGUUCGAGACCAGUCUGGUCAACAUGGUGAAACCCCACCUCUACUAAAAUACAAAAAUUAGUCAGCCAUGGUGGCAGGCACCUGUAAUCCCAGCUACUUGGGAGGCUGAGGCGGGAGAAUUGUUUGAACCCAGGAGACGGAGGUUGCAGUGAGCCAAAAUUACACCACCGAACUCCAGCCUAGGCAACAGAGGGAGACUCCAUCCAAAAAAAAAAAAAAAAAAAAGAAUACGUUCUAGCUCAAGCUCAUGUGACCUCUUGCCCACUCCUCACCUCAGCUUACCUGCCCUACUAAAACAGGUGUUUCCAGUCUCAUCUGAAGACCUCUUACAGGGAUCUAGCUUCACCCCUCUCUUUGUACAAUCUUCAUGAGACCAUGGGGGCAUCUCAAUUUCCUUGGCUAGUUCAUGUUCCUCUGUUCAGCCUUAAAGUAUACGUUCUUCUCGAGACAGAGUGACACCCUAUCUGUCUCAAGGAGAACCUACACUUUAAUAAAAAAAAGAAGAAGAAGAAGAAAGCCAGGUGCAGUGGCUCACGCCUGUAAUCCCAGCACUUCGGGAGGCUGAGGCAGGCGAUCACCUGAGGUCAGAAAUUCAAGACCAGCCUGGCCAACAUGGUGAAAGCCUGUCUCUACUAAAAAUACAAAAAUUAGUUGGGCAUGGGGGUGCCUGUAGUCCCAGCUAUUCAGGAGGCCGAGGCAAGAAAAUGGCUCCAACCUGGGAGGUGGAGGUUGCAGUGAGCCAAGAUCACGACACUGCACUCCAGCCUGGACAACAGAGUGAGACUCUGUCUCAAAAAA
ensembl:lncRNA